CUGAACCAGCCAAGUAGCGUGAAGGAUGACUGCCCUAUGGGUUGUAAACUUCUUUUAUAAAGGAAUAAAGUCGGGUAUGUAUACCCGUUUGCAUGUACUUUAUGAAUAAGGAUCAGCUAACUCCGUGCCAGCAGCCGCGGUAAUACGGAGGAUCCGAGCGUUAUCCGGAUUUAUUGGGUUUAAAGGGAGCGUAGAUGGAUGUUAAAGUCAGUUGUGAAAGUUUGCGG
rnacentral:rRNA from 1 species